rnacentral:rRNA from 1 species
UACGGAGGGUGCAAGCGUUGCUCGGAAUUAUUGGGCGUAAAGGGUAGGUAGGUGGUCUCAUUUGUCUGGGGUGAAAGCCUUGAGCUUAACUCAAGAAGUGCCCCAGAAACGGUGAGACUAGAGUCCUGGAGAGGGUCGUGGAAUUCCCGGUGUAGCAGUGAAAUGCGUAGAUAUCGUGAGGAACACCAGAGGCGAAGGCGGCUACCUGGACAAUUGCUGACGCUCAGGCACGAAAGCGUGGGGAGCAAAAGGG